GCCUCACUGUCAACAGACCCAGAAAAAACCAGAAUCCUCACUCCCUACCCGAAACCUUACUCUCCCAAACCCUCAUUCUUCUCUCUAUUUCGACAGACCCAAACCAAAACGAAAAUCCUCACUCUCUAACCAAAAGCUCACUCUCCCAAACCCUCAUUCUUCUCCCUAUCUUGACAGACCCAAACCAAAACAAAAAUCCUCACUCUCUAGCCAAAAUCUCACUCUCCCAAACCCUCAUUCUUCUCUCUAACCAAUCUCAUCCCUCUGCGAAUGGGAUUGAGCCGGUGAACUGAGAUUGAACCAAUUUUGCCUCUCGGACCGGUUCCCAUCGCAUCCAGCCUCAGGAACAUGGUUUUCUUAAGUGCAGCAAGAGUUGGAGGCUUAGAUGGAGUAUUGAUACCUUGGGCUUGGGAUUAAAGUAAGGAAAAGAUCUAACCAAACUGGCUAAUACCUUGUCGAGAAGGCAGAUGCUAAAAGUAGACGUAUAUUUUCAUAUGUUAGCAUGUGCCAAGGCUAUACAUGCUUAUUAGAAAAUAUUGAGUCAAUCUGGGAGAAGAUCUUUGAUUAGCAGUAAGUUGCCCUCAGGUAUCAUUAAGUUUAGCUUAAAAGAUGACUUGGUUCAACUGUUUGUUUACAUAAUCCAAGAGAAGAAGAUUAUUAGUAAAACCUGUGACUGUCAUAUUCUUGGAAAUGUCUCAUGAAAGUAUCUUGUGAAGCUGAAAUUGGUGAUGCCUAUAGAACCAAAUCUAUAUAUCAACGUUCAUUUGGUGAUGCCUAUAGAACCAAAUCUAUAUAUCAAUGUUCAUGACUCAAGUCAACAAUCAAGGAUUAUCGAUCAUAUAUCAAUAUUGAUGAUACCUUGAUAUUAUAUAUCUAAAGUAUACCAUUUCUGAGAUUGAUAUUCUCUCUAUCACUUGUAGUCUACUCUAUCACUUGUAGGAUCAACAUGCAAACAAGGAGAACUUUAAGGAGUUGUUAUUGCAACUGGU
rnacentral:lncRNA from 1 species